UCUUUUUCCUUGUCCUGUUUGCCGAACCGUUAGCACGAUUCCGAGACGUGACGAUGAUUCUUUUUUUUCUUCUUUUUUUCAAACGAAAGAGAAAAGGAUAGAGGAUGAUGAUGAUGAUGAUGACGAUGAAGAAGAAGAAGAAGAAGAAGACGUAAGAAAUAUCUUGUUUUUCCGGAUAAACUUCGCAACUCGGCAAACUCGGCCUGUCUUGUGUAAAGAUUUGACGGGAUAAUGAACGUGGUUAUUUCGUUUCUUUCUUCUCAUUCUCUCUCUCUCUCUCUCUUUCCUAUUAAUUCUUAGAAUUUUGAGAGCACCGUUCAACUAGAGAGAUAACAACAAACAAACAAUCGUGAUGUAUUUUAUUCGAUCUUUUCGUAAAAGCUGUGUAAUAUUAGUUUGAUGUAUUGUUAUUACCAGCAUUCAAUAAAGAGAUGAAUCAAA